ensembl:lncRNA
CUGAGGAGGCAUUGAGAAAAAUAAAGAUGGCAUUGACGGCAGAGCCGGUCCUAAGAGCGCCAGAUUUUGGCUGUCCUUUCCUGCUGCAAACAGAUGCGUCCGAUACAGGACUGGGAGCCGUCCUGUCCCAGAUUCAGGAAGAUGAGGAGCAUCCUGUCUUGUACCUCAGCCGGAAGCUGACCCCGGCCGAAAAAAACUACGCCGCGGUGGAGAAGGAAGCUCUGGCCAUCAAGUGGGCAGUUCUGGAAUUACGGAAGCAGCGAGUGACCCGGCGGAACCCCUGGAGCACUGCACCGACUCCCCACGAGCGGAUUCACCACGAGCACCAGGGUCCGCAGAACCUCGCAAGCUGGACCUCUCCUAAUUAAACGG